GGCGGCUGGAAGCUUUCGAUUAGGGGCUCUGCCCUUGGGAAGGUCUGAGAUGAGACACAUUGCCGAAAGGGCAUCUGGUUAAUGCCAGAAAUCGUUCAUAACAGAAAAGUUCACUUCUUCUAUGACCGGAACGGAAUGACUAGAAGGAGUUUGGAAACUGGACGAUGUCUUAGACUCCAAUAGUCCAACUCGAAAGGCAGCUGUUUGUGCUGUAACAGGAUUCAGACUACUCUCCAGCACC